UCUUUACACAUGCAAGUCGGACGGCAGCACAGGGAAGCUUGCUUCUCGGGUGGCGAGUGGCGAACGGGUGAGUAACAUAUCGGAACGUACCGGGUAGCGGGGGAUAACUGAUCGAAAGAUCAGCUAAUACCGCAUACGUCUUGAGAGGGAAAGCAGGGGACCUUCGGGCCUUGCGCUAUCCGAGCGGCCGAUAUCUGAUUAGCUGGUUGGCGGGGUAAAGGCCCACCAAGGCGACGAUCAGUAGCGGGUCUGAGAGGAUGAUCCGCCACACUGGGACUGAGACACGGCCCAGACUCCUACGGGAGGCAGCAGUGGGGAAUUUUGGACAAUGGGCGCAAGCCUGAUCCAGCCAUGCCGCGUGUCUGAAGAAGGCCUUCGGGUUGUAAAGGACUUUUGUCAGGGAAGAAAAGGCCGUUGCCAAUAUCGGCGGCCGAUGACGGUACCUGAAGAAUAAGCACCGGCUAACUACGUGCCAGCAGCCGCGGUAAUACGUAGGGUGCGAGCGUUAAUCGGAAUUACUGGGCGUAAAGCGGGCGCAGACGGUUACUUAAGCAGGAUGUGAAAUCCCCGGGCUCAACCCGGGAACUGCGUUCUGAACUGGGUGACUCGAGUGUGUCAGAGGGAGGUGGAAUUCCACGUGUAGCAGUGAAAUGCGUAGAGAUGUGGAGGAAUACCGAUGGCGAAGGCAGCCUCCUGGGAUAACACUGACGUUCAUGUCCGAAAGCGUGGGUAGCAAACAGGAUUAGAUACCCUGGUAGUCCACGCCCUAAACGAUGUCAAUUAGCUGUUGGGCAACUUGAUUGCUUGGUAGCGUAGCUAACGCGUGAAAUUGACCGCCUGGGGAGUACGGUCGCAAGAUUAAAACUCAAAGGAAUUGACGGGGACCCGCACAAGCGGUGGAUGAUGUGGAUUAAUUCGAUGCAACGCGAAGAACCUUACCUGGUUUUGACAUGUGCGGAAUCCUCCGGAGACGGAGGAGUGCCUUCGGGAGCCGUAACACAGGUGCUGCAUGGCUGUCGUCAGCUCGUGUCGUGAGAUGUUGGGUUAAGUCCCGCAACGAGCGCAACCCUUGUCAUUAGUUGCCAUCAUUCGGUUGGGCACUCUAAUGAGACUGCCGGUGACAAGCCGGAGGAAGGUGGGGAUGACGUCAAGUCCUCAUGGCCCUUAUGACCAGGGCUUCACACGUCAUACAAUGGUCGGUACAGAGGGUAGCCAAGCCGCGAGGCGGAGCCAAUCUCACAAAACCGAUCGUAGUCCGGAUUGCACUCUGCAACUCGAGUGCAUGAAGUCGGAAUCGCUAGUAAUCGCAGUCARCAUACUGCGGUGAAUACGUUCCCGGGUCUGUACACACCGCCCGUCACACCAUGGGAUGGGGGAUACCAAAA
rnacentral:rRNA from 1 species